AAUGAGAAAAAGCUCUCUUUCAUUUUCAGAUAUGAUGGGAGAGAGUAAAUUUUAAUAAAGGGGCAAUUGCUUACAUACCCCUGAAAAGUUUCCGACUUUCUGAUUUACCCCUCUUAGAAGGCUAAUAUUGAAAAUACCUUUUUUACGUUCCAACCUAUUUCAAAUAUACCCCUAGAGUUAAAAUCUGUUAAUGAACUCUGUUAUCUGUAUAAAAUUACUAUUUUGCCCUUUCAAAUAUACCCUUUCACCAUCGCCGACUUUUCUUAUUUGCCCUUAAGUCAGGGGCACAAAAAGUAUUUUGACUUUUGGUCUUUUCAAAUAUACCCCUCUACCGUCACCAACAUUUCUUAUUUGCCCUUAAGUUAAGGGCAAAAUUGGCAUUUUAAUUUUUUUUAACUAUGGUAAAUAUUUAACUCACAUUUAACCCAAAUUAACUCAACAGGGGAUAACUGCGGGGGUAUUUUGUAAUAACGGUGGAACAUAUGAGGGGUAUUUAGAAAGAAAAAAAAGUAGGGUUAAAUCGGAUAUUUUCAAACGUAUAAGACGUAUAUAGGCAAUUAUCCCUUUAAUAAAAGUUAAAUUGUUGAAAGAUUAUAAAAUUUUUUUUAUUUAACAUCCCUAAAGUAUUUUUUUGACUUUCAUUUUAAGACCUUGUAAGCAAGUCAAUCCCACAUUCUACUCCUACACAAUUAAAACAAGAAAUAAUUAUUCAUAUAACCCCUAAAACUUCUGAAAUAUCUUAUAUAUCGCUUUUUUUUGUUUCAAAUAUAUCUCUUAUAUAUUUUUUUCGUUAUUCAGAAAUAACCUCGCUAUUAGUAUCUGUUAAGUCAUCUCAAUUUAAAUCCGAGUUAAAUUUCUAGCAGAGUUAAAGAGCAGUUAAAUAUCUCUUUUGCUCCUAACUUAAGGGCAAAUAAAAGAAAUUGAUGACGAUAGAAAAGUAUAUUUGAAAGGGCAAAAAAAUCAAAAUAUCUUUUUUGUCCCUAACUUAAGGGCAAAUAAGAAAACAUGGUGACAGUAGAAGAUUAUAUUUAAAAAGUCAAAAUAGUAAUUUUAUAAAGAUAACGAUUGUUCCUAAUAUUUUACUAACAAUUCACUGCUAGAGUCUAACUUUAGAGAUAUAUUUGAAAGAAUUUGAAAUGUUAUAAGAACACUUUUAAUAUUAACCUUUUAAGCAUGAUAAAUAAAAAAGUCUGAAAUUUUCAUGAAUAUAUAAGCAAUUGUCUCUUAAAACAAAUUAAGAUAUUAUUGUGUUA
rnacentral:lncRNA from 1 species